rnacentral:rRNA from 1 species
GUGGGGAAUUUUCCACAAUGGGCGAAAGCCUGAUGGAGCAACGCCGCGUGUGUGAUGAAGGUCUUCGGAUCGUAAAGCACUUUCGACCGGGACGAAAAACCUCUGUCUAACAAAUAGGGGCCUGACGGUACCGGGAGAAGAAGCACCGGCUAACUCUGUGCCAGCAGCCGCGGUAAUACAGAGGGUGCAAGCGUUGUUCGGAAUUAUUGGGCGUAAAGCGCGUGUAGGCGGCUUAUCAAGUCAGAUGUGAAAGCCCUCGGCUCAACCGAGGAAGUGCGUCUGAAACUGGUGAGCUUGAGUGUCGGAGAGGGUAGCGGAAUUCCGCAAGUAGAGGUGAAAUUCGUAGAGAUGCGGAGGAACACCGGUGGCGAAGGCGGCUACCUGGACGACGACUGACGCUGAGACGCGAAAGCGUGGGAAGCAAACAGGAUUAGAAACCCUAGUAGUCC